UACGUAGGGUGCAAGCGUUGUCCGGAAUUAUUGGGCGUAAAGAGCUCGUAGGCGGUUUGUCGCGUCUGCUGUGAAAACCCGAGGCUCAACCUCGGGCCUGCAGUGGGUACGGGCAGACUAGAGUGCAGUAGGGGAGAUUGGAAUUCCUGGUGUAGCGGUGGAAUGCGCAGAUAUCAGGAGGAACACCAAUGGCGAAGGCAGCUCGCUGGGACGGUACUGACGCUGAGACGCGAAAGCGUGGGGAGCAAACAGG
rnacentral:rRNA from 1 species